rnacentral:rRNA from 1 species
GACAGAGGUCCCGAGCGUUAGGCGGAAUCACUGGGCUUAAAGCGUGUGUAGGCGGACUUGUAAGUACCUUGUGAAAUCCCACGGCUUAACCGCGGAACUGCUCGGUAUACUGCGAGUCUUGAGCCACUUAGGGGCUACCGGAACAAAUGGUGGAGCGGUGAAAUGCGUAGAUAUCAUUUGGAACGCCAAUGGUGAAAACAGGUAGCUGGGAGUGUGCUGACGCUGAGACACGAAAGCCAGGGGAGCAAACGGG